rnacentral:rRNA from 1 species
UUUUGAGCGUUCGGUGGAUGCCUUGGCAUCAGGAGCCGAUGAAGGACGUGGUGGCCUGCGAUAUGCCUCGGGGAGCCGGCUAACGGGCUGUGAUCCGAGGGUUUCCGAAUGGGGGGACCCGGCACCAGUUAUGUGGUGUCACCUGCAUCUGAAUUCAUAGGGUGUAGGGGGUGACGCGGGGAAGUGAAACAUCUCAGUACCCGCAGGAGAAGAUAUUCCGUGAGUAGUGGCGAGCGAAAGCGGAUGAUGGUUAAACCGUUUCCGUGUGAUGACCCGGCAGGGGUUGCGGUUGCGGUGUUGUGGGGCGCAUCUUUCUCACGUCUGCCGGCGUGGGGCGCAGUGAGAAACUCGCAUGGUAGCUGAAUCCUUUGGGAAGGGGAGGCGUAGUGGGUGAGACCCCCGUAGGCGAAACUGUGUGGGCUGUGUGGGUGCGUUGCCCGAGUAGCACGGGGCUCGUGGAAUCCUGUGUGAAUCUGCCAAGACCACUUGGUUGCCUGAAUACUUCCUGAUGACCGAUAGCGGAUAGUACCGUGAGGGAAUGGUGAAAAGUACCCCGGGAGGGGAGUGAAAUAGUACCUGAAACCGGGCGCUUACAAGCCGUCAGAGGCCUGCUGGGCUGAUGGCGUGCCUAUUGAAGAAUGAGCCUGCGAGUUAGUGCUGUGUCGCGAGGUUAACCCGUUGGGGGGAGUCGUAGCGAAAGCGAGUCCGAAAGGGCGUUUUAGUGGCACGGUCUAGACCCGAAGCGGGGUGAUCUACCCAUGGCCAGGUUGAAGCACGUGUAAGAGCGUGUGGAGGACCGAACCCACUUCAGUUGAAAAUGGAGGGGAUGAGCUGUGGGUAGGGGUGAAAGGCCAAUCAAACUCCGUGAUAGCUGGUUCUCCCCGAAAUGCAUUUAGGUGCAGCGUUACGUGUUUCUUGCCGGAGGUAGAGCUACUGGAUGGCCGAUGGGCCUUCACGGGUUACUGACGUCAGCUAAACUCCGAAUGCCGGUAAGUGAGAGCGUAGCAGUGAGACAGUGGGGGAUAAGCUUCAUUGUCGAGAGGGAAACAGCCCAGACCACCAACUAAGGCCCCUAAGCGUGUGCUAAGUGGGAAAGGAUGUGGAGUUGCUUAGACAACCAGGAGGUUGGCUUAGAAGCAGCCAUCCUUGAAAGAGUGCGUAACAGCUCACUGGUCAAGUGAUUCUGCGCCGAUAAUGUAGCGGGGCUCAAGUACACCGCCGAAGUUGUGGCAAUGAUCUUUUUGGAUUGUUGGGUAGGGGAGCGUCGUGUAGCCAGUGAAGCUGCGGUGUAAACCAGUGGUGGAGGCUAUGCGAGUGAGAAUGCAGGCAUGAGUAACGAAUUGAUAGGUGAGAAUCCUAUCCGCCGGAU